GACGAACGCUGGCGGCGUGCUUAACACAUGCAAGUCGAACGAGAAGAGAUGAGAAGCUUGCUUCUUAUCAAUUCGAGUGGCAAACGGGUGAGUAACGCGUAAGCAACCUGCCCUUCAGAUGGGGACAACAGCUGGAAACGGCUGCUAAUACCGCAUGAAAUGUUCGGAUGGCAUCGUCUGAACAUCAAAGAUUUAUCGCUGAAAGAUGGGCUCGCGUCUGAUUAGAUAGUUGGUGAGGUAACGGCUCACCAAGUCGACGAUCAGUAGCCGGACUGAGAGGUUGAACGGCCACAUUGGGACUGAGAUACGGCCCAG
rnacentral:rRNA from 1 species